GCCGAUAAUCACAGUGCUGGCUUCUCCACCAGCACUGCUGCCAGCUGCUCCGCUCCGUCUUUCGGAACUGGGUCUGGCUCCGCCUCUUUCCUUCCCACACACUGCGGGUGGCGGCUGACUCCCCGCUUUCUGAGGCUUAUCUCUCCAGCUUCCUCCGCUCAGCCGCCUCGUUGCCUCGGCGGGGCCGCCUUUUGUUCCUUCCGGAAGGCAUCCCCCGCCCCCACUGCUUUGCUGCAGCUGGAUAAAUGCCCGGCUGACAAGCGCGCCAGCGUUCUCAGCACAUGUGCCUCCCUCGGAUCUUCCGGCCCUGCAGGAGGUAUCAUCCCAGUCGGAACCCAAGGAUCCUAUUGUAUUUCAGCUUCCAAAUCAAAGCCAGAAGUACAUCCUCUGUAGAGGAAUAUAAGGAGAGCCAGCAAGGCCAGUGAUGCUGCAAAUUUAAUGAGGAGACAUUUUCUUCCCAGGUUCAUGACAAUUCCAGAGUUGAACACCACCACGGGGGAGCAGGCAAACACCACAGAGUAUUAUUGUCCAUAUGGGAGGUACAGAGAGAGAGAAAGCUGCACAGGAAAGCAUCUGGCAGAAGGAGGAACACUGAGGAGAAGAGACCAAAAGGAAAAGCCUAAAAUCUCAAUAUUCUUCCCAGUUCAUACUGAGAGAUUCAGCUCUCCUCUGGUGACAGUCUUUGACACAAUCUGAGUAUCUGCCUAAGGGAAUGGGUUACCAGAAAGUUUGCAAGUUCACAGCAUGGGAAAUGUAAUUUUAUCCCCUGCUCUCCCAAGAUCUCCCUGGAUGACCCUGAGCAAGUGUCCCAUGGCCAGAGGCUAGGUAUAUAAGGGUGAGGAAAGGUGGCCAAUGGAGUUUGCAAAACCCUCUCUGUUUCUAAGUGGGGUUGAUUUUUUGAAGGGAAUUUGGUGGUGCUUCAUGAAUUUAAAAUGUACUGUGCACCUACCCAUUUCUUUUGAUGCCUGAAACCUUCACAUUCUGACCUGCAAUGAAUCAAGAGUCUAAAACCUGAUUUCUGGAAGACAUUCAGUUAGAUGCACUGUGUGCAAGAUCUUUUCAACGGAAUUUGCAAUACAUUAAACUGCUAAGUUGUCACUGAAUGUGUAUGUGGUAUCACAGCAACAAUGCUCAGACCACAACCAACAACUACAAGAAAUAAACCUGCUGUGUGCACUGACCCCUCCUUGUACAGAAUGUGGAUUGUGUGUAAGGCUUCCCCUGGGAAUGUGCUCGGCCUUAAGCUGCAGCCUUAGACCCGCUGCUGGACUAGUAGUGGAUAGAGGUGGUUUGGAAUGGUGAGCAAUGUGCACCCUUAGGAAAUCACUUUUCCAAGCACAUCAUCAGUAAACUGUCUAGCUUGUUGAGAGAGUUCGGCAGCAGUGACACCCAUGAUAGCUAAUAAACAAAGGGCAGUAGAGCAGAUAAUGGAGAGGAGAGCAUUAAUGGUAGAACUGCUUCUUUUAUUUUAAUAAAGCAAUAAGGCAUUCCAUCCCUAUGUUUCAGUUCUCCAUAGGAACUCUCUAAA